GAUUAACGCUGGCGGCGUGCAUAACACAUGCAAGUCGAACGAUGAAACUUUAAUGACCCCUUCGGGGAGAAUUAAAGCGGAUUAGUGGCGAACGGGUGAGUAACGCGUGAGUAACCUGCCUUACACAAGGGGAUAGCCUUUGGAAACGAAGAAUAAUACCCUAUAAAACCAUAAAAGCACAUGCAAUUAUGGUCAAAGUGAUAGCGGUGUAAGAUGGACUUGCGUCUGAUUAGCUAGUUGGUGAGAUAAAAGCCCACCAAGGCAACGAUCAGUAGCCGGCUUGAGAGAGUGUACGGCCACAUUGGGACUGAGACACGGCCCAGACUCCUACGGGAGGCAGCAGUGGGGAAUUUUGCACAAUGGGGGAAACCCUGAUGCAGCGACGCCGCAUGAUUUAGAAGGCCUUCGGGUUGUAAAAAUCUUUUGUAUAGGAAGAAAAUGACAGUACUAUACGAAUAAGGUCCGGCUAAUUACGUG
rnacentral:rRNA from 1 species